UAGUUGGAGGUAAAUAUGCUUGCCUCAGAGGCAGAAGACUUGCAUUGAAAAUGAGUGUUCAUGCUUACCAUAUGACUGCGAUUAAGGAAUUUCAAUCUCCCUGAGCAUCAGUUUCUCCUUCUAUAAAAUUGAAGACUCACUGCUCAGGUUGAUGUGAGGUAGAAUCUUUGAAAAGUAAAGUUUUGGAUGAAUGAAGCCUACUGGACUUAGAGGCAAGAGGAAGUGGGUUCUGAUCCUGGCUUUAACUCUUAAUAGUAUCAUGACCACAGAGUCUUUUACCCAUUUAAUCCUCAGAACAAGGAUGGGCCAUUAAGUGAGACUCCAGUCUUUUGGACGUUGCUUCUGGAGGUCACCAUGUGCUUCUCCUGCUCUGAAACAGAUUGCUUG